rfam:Candidatus Roizmanbacteria bacterium RIFCSPLOWO2_02_FTLL_41_9 rifcsplowo2_02_scaffold_4987, whole genome shotgun sequence.
UUUUUUAAGAGUUUGAUCCUGGCUCAGGAUGAACGCUGGCGGCGUGCCUGAGAUAUGCAAGUCGAGCGACUUCUUGUGCUUCGCACAAGGAGUCUAAAAGUUAAAAGUCUGUAAAGUCGAUAAAGUUCGUAUGUAUGCAAUUACAUCUAACUUUCCGAUUUGAUUGACUUUGCGACUUUUGGACUUCUCAUGCGGAGCGUGAGGAGAGCGGCGGACGGCUGAGUAACACGUAGGAAUCUACCCCUAGGUGGAGAAUAGCUCAUCGAAAGGUGGGGUAAUACUCCAUAACCAGGCGCCGAAUGGUGCCUGGAAAGGACGUAACUGUUCGCCAAGGGAAGAACCUGCGGCCUAUCAGGUAGUUGGUAGGGUAACGGCCUACCAAGCCAAUGACAGGUAGCUGGCCUCAUGAGGGUGGUCAGCCAGAGGGGGACUGAGACACGGCCCCCACUCCUACGGGAGGCAGCAAUCAGGAAUAGUCGGCAAUGGGCGCAAGCCUGACCGCGCGACGCCGCGUGAAGGAUGAAGCUCCACAAGAGUGUAAACUUCUGUGGUAAGGGAUGAAGUCCCGCCGUUGGCGGGAUUGACAGUACCUUACUAGAAAGUGGCCGCUAACUGCGUGCCAGAAGCGUCGGUAAUACGUGGGCCACAAGCGUUAUCCGGUGUUAUUGGGCGUAAAAGGUCGUGUAGGUGGUUAUAUAAGUUAUCUUUUAAAUAUCCUCGCUCAACGGGGAAAUUGGGGAUAAAACUAUAUAGCUAGAGUUUUCUUUAGGGAGAUUGGAACUGAGGGAGGAGUAGUGAAAUGCGUUGAUACCCUCGGGAACACCAGUGGCGUAGGCGAAUCUCUGGAAGGAAACUGACACUGAGACACGAAAGCUAGGGGAGCGAAGCAGAUUAGAGACCUGCGUAGUCCUAGCCGUAAACGUAUGUUCGCUGGCUGCAUGUCCUGCCUUUUGGUGGGACGUGUGGCGAAGGUAACCCGUUAAGCGAACCGCCUGGGGAGUACUGCCGCAAGGUUAAAACUCAAAGGAAUUGGCGGGGAGGCACACAACCAGUGGAACAUGUGGUUUAAUUCGAUACGAACCGAAGCACCUCACCAGGGUUUGACAUGCUAGCGUUCUACCCCGCAGAAAUGCGGGGAAUCCGCAAGGAGGUUAGCACAGGUGCUGCAUGGCUGUCGUCAGUUCGUUCCGUGAGGAGUACCCUUAAGUGGGACAACGAACGUAACCCCCAUCUUGUGUUACAAGUGUCACAAGAGACCGUCCCGCCUUCGGCGGGAAGGAAGGAGGGGCAGACGUCAAGUCAGCAUGGUCCUUAUACCCUGGGCUACACACAUGUUACAAUGAGCAAUAACAAAGGGCUUAGCAAAUGUGCAAACACAAGCGAAUCCCAAAAAUUUGCUCUCAGUGGGGAUUGAGGUCUGCAACCCGACCUCAUGAACUCGGAAUUGGUAGUAAUCGCAGAUCAGCUACGCUGCGGUGAAUACGUUCUUGCCUCUUGCACACACCGCCCGUCAAGCCAACAAAGUCGGAGAUAUUUGAAUCCCGCCAGUAGGCGGGAGAGAAUAUUUUCGGCGAUGAGGGUUAAGUCGUAACAAGGUAUCCGUUCUGGAAGGAGCGGAUGGAUCACCUCCUUU